rnacentral:misc_RNA from 1 species
GAUGAAGAACGUAGCGAAAUGCGAUACUUGGUGUGAAUUGCAGAAUCCCGUGAACCAUCGAGUCUUUGAACGCAAGUUGCGCCCGAAGCCAUUAGGCCGAGGGCACGCCUGCCUGGGUGUCACACGUCGUUGCCCCCCCAUCUACUCCUUCGGGAUUGCGGGGGGCGGAUGAUGGCCUCCCGUGCGCCUCGUCGCGCGGUUGGCAUAAAUGCCAAGUCCUCGGCGACGCACGCCACGACAAUCGGUGGUUGCGAAACCUCGGUUGCCCGUCGUGUGCGGUCGUCGCGCAUCGAGGGCUCGAAAAAAUUGCCGGGCUCCGGCUCGGCUUUCAACGCGACCCCAGGUCAGGCGGGGUUACACGCUGAAUUUAAGCAUAUCAAUAAGCGGAGGA